GACGAACGCUGGCGGCGUGCUUAACACAUGCAAGUCGAGCGGUAAGGCCCUUUCGGGGGUACGACGAGCGGCGAACGGGUGAGUAACACGUGGGUGACCUGCCCUCAGCUCUGGGAUAAGCCCGGGAAACUGGGUCUAAUACCGGAUAUGACUUCAUGACGCAUGUUGUGGAGUGGAAAGCCUUGUGCGGCUGAGGAUGGGCCCGCGGCCUAUCAGCUUGUUGGUGGGGGGA
rnacentral:rRNA from 1 species